rnacentral:misc_RNA from 1 species
AACACCUCAAAGCUUUUGAUUUUUUUUGAAAGCUUUGGACUUGAGCAAUCCCAACACCAAUCUUUUUCAGAUCGGCGGCGGGUUGCUUGAAAUGCAGGUGCAGCUGGACAUUCUCCUGAGCUAAAAGCAUAUUCAUUUAGUCCCGUCAAACGGAUUAUUACUUUUGCUGCAGCUAACAUAAAGGGAGUUUGACCGUAUUGGCUGACUGAUGCAGGAUUUCACAAGGGUCGGCAACGAUUCUUGUUAAAC